UGAAAAAAAAAAUAAGAAAGGCAUUGAGGGGAAAAUGAAAAGAGGUCAAGAAAUGGAAAACCAGGUAUUAUAGGGAUACAAGGGAGGAAAAGAAAGGGGGAUUGAAGAAAACAAGGAAGCAUUAAGGAAGCAACAAUGGAAAAAUAAGAAAGGAAUACAGAGGGAAAUAUUGGGAAAAAGGAAUAAUGAAAGGGAGAAGAGACUAAAAGGACUAAAGAAAAGGACUAAAACAGGGUAGCAAGGAGGAGAGGGGUAAGGAAAAAGGAGAGAAUACUGGAAAAAGAAGCUAGGAAAAGGAGAGGAAUACAAUGAAGGAAGGAAAAUGACAUCUAUGAAAAAGGAGAAGAACAGGGAAAGAGAAAUAAUAGUAAUUAAGGAAAAGAAAAUGAUGGUGUAAGUUCAGUGGUGGAGGGAAAUGAAAUUAAACCAGUUCUUCCGAUUCUUCUACUACACUUAUGCAGAGCUAUUUCAAAUACAGGACAGGAGCUGCCAUGGUAAAAUUCACUUUGUCACACUCUUCUGACAAUCAAUUCAAGCUCACACCGCUAGAUCAGAUUUUUGGAAGUUGAUUGAUUCCUCAUUUGUAGGUGGAUCCACUGAUUAACCUCAGCCACAUCGCCGGGGAAACUGAGGGUUUCUCAGGAAGUGACCUUAAAGAGAUUUGUCGUGAGGCAGCACUACUGUGUGUCCAAGACAUCAUCCAUUCUGACACCCUUUCAAAUGUCCGGAUCCGUCCAAUUAGCCAGAAUGACCUCCAGAAAGCUACAAGGAAGAUGAAGAAGUCCAAGAUUCCUGGUGGCCACGGCACAAUUUUUUCAGAUGACCAUAUUCGUCAGAUUAGUCAGGAUGACCUCCAGUCCAACACCGUGGGAAGAUAUGGCAUGCUGCCGUUGUAUAUAAUCAUAUUUCAAAUCAUAGUCAUUAUUUAUUUAAUUUUUUGGCACACUGAAAAAAAUGAUCUGUUGACUUAACUUGAAAAAAAUGUAUACAUCAAUUGCACACAAUAAGUGUUGGAAUUGAUAUUUUUUGUAUUGUCAUUUGUGCUUAGAAACAUAUAAUCAUUUGUGUGCUGAUAAAAUAUCUUAUCCUUAUUAGGUCUGAUAAGAGUCUGUGUGCACUUGGGUACCAUGAGAUGAGCGGAAGCAGCCUCGACGUUAUAAUUUCCAUUAUAGCUGUAGAAACCAGACUGUCUUGUUCGUUAUCUGAAAGUGUAAGACUUCACACCUUUAAAUGACCCAAUGCAAGUUCUUGUUUUUAUAGUUUAGCAAGACGUUUACUUCUGCUUUUCUGCAUACAGUUUAAGUUCAUUGAGAGGUCAUGUCUAUGUAUAGUAUGGCUGGAAACACACACACACACACAUGCACCUACACACACACCCACAAACACAGAAUACAGACACCGAUGUUGUUCGGAUAUGCCUGCUUAAGAAUGUCACGUGUAUUUGUAAUUGCAUAUUCAUGAAUGAUUGCUUGCUGAGAAUAAAAAGGGCUGUAGUGAAGGAAUCAGUCGAAGUUGGUUGAGUUCAGGUGAA